rnacentral:rRNA from 1 species
UACGUAGGGGGCUAGCGUUGUCCGGAAUCAUUGGGCGUAAAGCGCGUGUAGGCGGUCCGGUAAGUCCGCUGUGAAAGUCGGGGGCUCAACCCUCGAAUGCCGGUGGAUACUGCCAUGACUAGAGUCCGGUAGGGGAGUGUGGAACUUCCCGGUGUAGCGGUGAAAUGCGCAGAUAUCGGGGAGGAACACCAGUAGCGAAGGCGACACUCUGGGCCGGUACUGACGCUGAGGAGCGAAAGCGUGGGGAGCAAACAGG